rnacentral:rRNA from 1 species
GAUGAACGCUGGCGGCGUGCCUAAUACAUGCAAGUCGAGCGAACAGACGAGGAGCUUGCUCCUCUGACGUUAGCGGCGGACGGGUGAGUAACACGUGGAUAACCUACUUAUAAGACUGGGAUAACUUCGGGAAACCGGAGCUAAUACCGGAUAAUAUCUUGAACCGCAUGGUUGAAUAGUGAAAGACGGUUUUGCUGUCACUUAUAGAUGGAUCCGCGCCGCAUUAGCUAGUUGGUAAGGUAACGGCUUACCAAGGCAACGAUGCGUAGCCGACCUGAGAGGGUGAUCGGCCACACUGGAACUGAGACACGGUCCAGACGCCUACGGGAGGCAGCAGUAGGGAAUCUUCCGCAAUGGGCGGAAGCUUGACGGAGCAGCGCCGCGUGAGUGAUGAAGGUCUUCGGAUCGUAAAACUCUGUUAUUAGGGAAGAACAAAUGUGUAAGUAACUAUGCACGUCUUGACGGUACCUAAUCAGAAAGCCACGGCUAACUACGUG